rnacentral:rRNA from 1 species
UUUUUAGUGAGAGUUUGAUCCUGGCUCAGGACGAACGCUGGCGGCGUGCCUAACACAUGCAAGUCGAGCGAGAGGAGUUCUUCGGAACAAAUCUAGCGGCGGACGGGUGAGUAACACGUGGGCAACCUACCUUAUAGAGGGGAAUAGCCUUUCGAAAGGAAGAUUAAUACCGCAUAACAUUGCAGUU